UUUUGCCAGGAACAGAAUGUAUUGGGAGAUACUGUGAGCUUGGCCGAAGAGGAACACAUUCCCUAGUAGAGAAAGACCAGUAUUUGAUCAAGAGUAUGUGAGUAGCUGCUCUCUCCUGCUAGAACCGCCAAACAAGCACUUGAGGAAAUCUUAAGAGGCUGAAGACAUGUCUCAGC
rnacentral:sRNA from 14 species